GACGGAGCGUGCGAGCGUUGUCCGGAUUUACUGGGCGUAAAGGGUGCGUAGGCGGCUUCGUAAGUGGGGAGUUAAAGCCCUCGGCUCAACCGAGGAAAUGCCCCAGAUACUGCGGGGCUUGAGGGUGGUAGAGGGGAGUGGAAUUGCGGGUGUAGCGGUGAAAUGCGUUGAUAUCGGCAGGAACUCCGGUGGCGAAGGCGGCUCGCUGGACUGCUACUGACGCUGAGGCGCGAAAGCGUGGGGAGCGAACGGG
rnacentral:rRNA from 1 species